GGCAAUUUGGGUGGAAGUGAAUGUGAAAUGAUAGAUUUCAAGAUUCCAAGGACAGGAAGGAGUGACAGCAGCAAGAGAAGGACAAUGGACUUAAAAAAAAAGCAGACUUUAAUAAGCCCUAAUAUACCCCUAUAGAACAGAAUGUUGUAUAUUAAAAAGAUCUGCCCUCAUAGCCAGGAUGGGAAUUGGAUUGGACAUUUGGGGAUGAGGCAUACAGCAACUUCUCCAACCCCAGCAGCAACAUUUCCUGCCCAGAGCUGGCGGAACUGGAAGACAGCAAUUCUCUCCUUCCCACUCCCUUCUUGGGUGGUUUCUAGCAUGGUGGAGAGAGUGGACUUUGUAUGUACAAGCUUCCUCCCCACCUUUUGACCCAUUUAUGGUGCUGGGAGGAGCUGAAAUCUGAUGGCUCCUUUGAUUGUCCCUGGAGUCUCCCAUCCAGGUGAGGUCUGCCAGCCUAAGUUUGUUGCUACCCACUCUUCCAACUUAUGGUUUAUGUUCAGCUGCUUUGGUUUGAUGUCAGAUUUCCUGGAAUACUGAGGGCUUUUGCCAGUCUCCUUUUUAGGGCUAGAAAGAUGUUUGGUCAAUUUUGCAUUUUAGCAGAAUGUGAUUGGGGGCUUUCCAGCUUCCUGUCAGCAGCCAAGAUGCCUGGUUUUCUUAAAUUUUAUAUUAAAUGUUUAUAUUGCAACUUUUCCAGGAGUCCAGCACAGAUGCUGGAAAUUGCAAAACCAAGCUGGCAGCCUAACUGUUGUGGCAACUUAGCAUGUUAAACAGGAGGUGGGGAGAGGCCUCUAAGGGUUUGUGCAUCUUGAGACGCCCUUCUUUGUCUCACACUUCUUAUCAAACUGUCUGUACUGGGCUAUCUUGAUUAUCACUUCAAAAGUUUUUUUUCUCUUACUUAAUUGGCCUCUCAGAGUUGGUAAGACAACUCCCACCUGUUUAUGCUCUCUGUAUGUGUGUAUAUAUAUUUCCUCAAUAUUUAUUCCACUCUGUAUGCAUCCGAAGAAGUGGGCUGUAGUCCACGAAAGCUUAUGCUCUA